AGCGAACGCUGGCGGCAGGCUUAACACAUGCAAGUCGAGCGGGCGUAGCAAUACGUCAGCGGCAGACGGGUGAGUAACGCGUGGGAACGUACCUUUUGGUUCGGAACAACCCAGGGAAACUUGGGCUAAUACCGGAUAAGCCCUUACGGGGAAAGAUUUAUCGCCGAAAGAUCGGCCCGCGUCUGAUUAGCUAGUUGGUGAGGUAACGGCUCACCAAGGCGACGAUCAGUAGCUGGUCUGAGAGGAUGAUCAGCCACAUUGGGACUGAGACACGGCCCAAACUCCUACGGGAGGCAGCAGUGGGGAUAUUGGACAAUGGGCGCAAGCCUGAUCCAGCCAUGCCGCGUGAGUGAUGAAGGCCCUA
rnacentral:rRNA from 1 species